AAAAAAUAUAUGAUGAGGAUCCUGUACAAGCUGUGGGUACUCCAUAUUGUACGGAAAACUCUGUUAAUGGAGCUAGUUCAACAGAAUGGACGCUUCUCAGCUUACAGCAGCAGCACAUUUCAACUGCAUUAAGAUAUUAAUAACUUUAUAAUUCGAAAACUAUUUUUUAAUUUUACUGUGAUGUCUUUGCACUUCAAAGGAGCUUAUGACGGAGGCGUUCGUGGAGCCGAGGGGCUGCGUCACUACUAAAGACUUCUGUAUAUGCAGUUUUGUUUAUAAUAUUUUGCUGAUUUUUGAAAACGAGUUUAUUGUUGUAUUGUUAUUUCCUUUGUAUGUUAUGUGAACCAUGUACAUGAUUUAUGUUAAAUAUUGAAAUAAAGACUGAAUCUUAAAAAUGU